rnacentral:rRNA from 1 species
CCGCAGCGAAAGCGAGUCUGAAUAGGGCGUUGAGUAUUUGGUCGUAGACCCGGAACCAGGUGAUCUACCCUUGGUCAGGUUGAAGUUCAGGUAACACUGAAUGGAGGACCGAACCGACUUACGUUGAAAAGUGAGCGGAUGAACUGAGGGUAGCGGAGAAAUUCCAAUCGAACUUGGAGAUAGCUGGUUCUCUCCGAAAUAGCUUUAGGGCUAGCCUCAAGUGAUGAUUAUUGGAGGUAGAGCACUGUUUGGACGAGGGGCCCCUCUCGGGUUACCGAAUUCAGACAAACUCCGAAUGCCAAUUAAUUUAACUUGGGAGUCAGAACAUGGGUGAUAAGGUCCGUGUUCGAAAGGGAAACAGCCCAGACCACCAGCUAAGGUCCCAAAAUAUAUGUUAAGUGGAAAAGGAUGUGGCGUUGCCCAGACAACUAGGAUGUUGGCUUAGAAGCAGCCAUCAUUUAAAGAGUGCGUAAUAGCUCACUAGUCGAGUGACACUGCGCCGAAAAUGUACCGGGGCUAAACAUAUUACCGAAGCUGUGGAUUGUCCUUUGGACAAUGGUAGGAGAGCGUUCUAAGGGCGUCGAAGCAUGAUCGCAAGGACAUGUGGAGCGCUUAGAAGUGAGAAUGCCGGUGUGAGUAG